GGAAUGUUCAACCAUCACACCACCAACAUGUGCUGUUGUGGGCCAACAUAAUAAGACAGGAUGCAUUACUUUCAGAGCAGCAAGAUUAAACCAUGCAUGCAGCAGCCUUUGAAAACAACUCUACUUGUGGAAGACUAGGAAGAAUAAGGCAGUAUACAGAAAGUACAGCCAAAAAGUUGCACAUGUUGAAAACUAACAAAUUUUAGAGAGCAAGCUAGGAAUGGAAGCUACGAGAGUCCUUGACCAACACAUCAUCAGGAAAGUGGUAACAGAUAUCAUCCAACAAAGAAAGAAAGAUAUAGUAUUGAUUCUAAUAAUGAAAUGCUUCUGUUCAGUAUUAAAUAGUCACA